rnacentral:rRNA from 1 species
GAUGAACGCUGGCGGCGUGCCUAAUACAUGCAAGUCGAGCGAACGGACGAGAAGCUUGCUUCUCUGAUGUUAGCGGCGGACGGGUGAGUAACACGUGGAUAACCUACCUAUAAGACUGGGAUAACUUCGGGAAACCGGAGCUAAUACCGGAUAAUAUUUUGAACCGCAUGGUUCAAAAGUGAAAGACGGUCUUGCUGUCACUUAUAGAUGGAUCCGCGCUGCAUUAGCUAGUUGGUAAGGUAACGGCUUACCAAGGCAACGAUGCAUAGCCGACCUGAGAGGGUGAUCGGCCACACUGGAACUGAGACACGGUACAGACUCCUACGGGAGGCCGCAGUCGGGAAUCUUACGCAAUGGACGAAAGCCUGACGGAGCAACGCCGCGUGAGUGAUGAAGGUCUUCGGAUCGUAAAACUCUGUUAUUAGGGAAGAACAUAUGUGUAAGUAACUGUGCACAUCUUGACGGUACCUAAUCAGAAAGCAACGGCUAACUACGUG